rnacentral:Y_RNA from 1 species
GGCUGGUCCGAUGGUAGUGGGUUAUCAGAACUUAUUAACAUUAGUGUCACUAAAGUUGGUAUUCAACCCCCCACUGCUAAAUUUGACUGGCUUUGA